AAUAAAUAAAAGUAUAAAAAUAAAGAAAAAAAGCAAAAAACUUAAAAUCCCAAAGAUCCACUGGAGGAAAUGAGUCCAAAAACAGUCCUUUGUAUUAUUCAUUGAGUAGUUUUUUUCAGGGUGUGUGGUAUUGGUACCCAACAGAUAUGAGGAAGGUAUAGUGAAUAACUACUAAGACCCGUUUUGUUUCCACACUCACAUUUUUGUGUGUGAAUGAUUAAUCAUGCCUUAUCAUUCCCACUGGGCUUAGUUGGUCAGUGGUAUCUUCCCUAAGUCUAUAUUCACUCUAGCCUCUCCUACUUUAUGUGUGCUUCUGUGCGUCUCAAAUCACAGCUUGUUCCACCUAACUUUACAGCCUAUGGGUUUGUAAAGUGCCCCCUCCAGCUGCAGACAGCCCCUCUGUCUGUACAUACCAGGCUGUAGCAACCAUCUAAGGUGAGGUAUAUCCCUGGUCUUACUGGUAGAUGAAGAAAGGAAACAGACCACUAACCUCUGUGUUGGAUGUAGGCAGGUCAGCAUGGGUAUCAAGUAGACUGCUGGACUUAGUGCUAGCACUUUCAGACCUAGACCCCUUGGAAAGCAACACAAGACUGUUCUGACUUCUCAACUCAGCAGGUGAGACUCCUGUUUCCUUGCUUGAGCUCAAACAUCUCAGGUGAUCUAUGUCCAGCCUGUACCCUCUCCACAACUGUCCCUUGUAGCUCUCUCCUACCCUGUCUCUGUUGGUAGGGUAAUUCCAGAAACCUUUAAGUAUAGUUGCUCUGUAGUUGUUCUGUAACUCAAACUUAAUUAACCCCUUCUCAAAAUGACUCCAGAUUAAACAUUCUGAAAUGUCAAUUUUGCUAGGUGUAUACCUGCAGUAACCUUGAAUAGAAAAUGUAAGUGAAGCUUACAGUUUCUUCACUGCAAUGAAAAUUUUGAAAACAUACAUCUUAUUUUAAUUUAAUUGCCUUUUUGAAAUCCUAUCUCCAAAUAGUUUUACACACUUAGGUGUUCAGUGUUAAGACUUUCAUAUACAAGCAUUUUUUCAUUGUGUGAAGUGUGGCUAAUUCUCCUGUAUGGAGUCCCACCUUGUUCCCCACUAGCUUCUGUGACUUGUUGGGUGUUGGCGACCUGAUUUUGGUUAUUAGAGUCAACUUCUGAAAUGUGUCCCAUACACUGUGUUCCAGCCCCAGCUCAUAGGCAGUUAGGGCAGCUAGGUCAGCUAGGUCAGCUAGGUAGGCAUAAGUCAGCUAGGCCAACUAAGUGGGCAGAGGCAUGGGAUACCAUGGUCAUGUUCAGAAUUAAGUGUCCCCAAAUGGCAGAGCAGUGAGUAUGAGCAACUCAGUUUCUCCUGGACAAAGUGUUUGGAGUCUGGAAAACAAUAGCUUGGGGAAUGAUUGAAGCGAAUGGAGCUUAUCCAGGAACCAUGAGAUUAAUGACAGAGGAGACAAAAAUGCAACUAAGUGAUACAGAAGAAAUAGAUCACAUCACUGAGGAGAGAUUGUGCAAUUUGAUAUUCACCAGCUGGGAGGUAAAGUGAAACGAACAACUUUUUAGUUCACAGAGAACUGGAGAACUACACUGGGACUAAAAGAAUCAUUUACGGUUGGAACCAACAAGGAAAAUGCAUGACACUGUUUCCAGAGUGAUCCUCCAGAGUCAACAGCUGGUGAAUGACCACGGGAUUGAACUCACGACCUUGUGCUUUCGAGGAAGGUGGCGGCACCACUGAAAAUCCCUGGCUCCAAUCCAAUGUUUUAAGAGACCAGAAGAACACUCGGUGGAUGUUUGGCAACUGGCCCUGUAAACCAGUAGAAAUGAGGUAACAAAAGAAUUUAUGAUGUGGAAUUCAAGAUAAUUUUUUUUUCUACACAAACAAGAAUUGGGUACAGCACCAUUUGUCCAUUAGAUACACAGAACAUGGAAUUCACCAGGUAUUUCCAAAAUGCCAAACCCGCAGUUUUAAUUACCUCUUUUUGUGGGUAGUACCAGGAAUCAAACUCAAGGCCAUGCACUUCCCAGGCAGGGAUCAAACUUAGGACCUAACACUUGCGAGAGUUGGUGAUGUUCUACAACUGAGCCACACCUUGGACCUUGGACUAAAAAAUUAAAAUAACUGUUUAACAUUCUAUGUGCUCUAAUGAAAAAAAAGACAACAUGUAAAAAAAACACAUGUAAUGAAAGCAAACAGAUGGAAAUUCUAAGGAAUCUAAGAGAAAUACUAAUAAUCAAAAACACUACAAAAACAAUGAAGAAAGCCUUUGAUGAACUCAUUAGUAAACUGAGUUAAUAAUCUCUAACUUGAUGACAGUGUAUCAACAGAACCAUCUAACACACACAAAAAAAAAGAAAAACAAUAGCAGAAAACUAAAGAACUGUAUAACAGCCAUAAAGAUUAUAACAUAUAUGUAAUGGGAAAGCCAGAAAGAGGAUGAAAUAAAGGAAGAGAAGCAGUAUUUGAAGCUGUAAUAAUGAAAUACCUCCAAAUUAACGGCAGAUACCAAACUACAAAUCUAGGAAGCUGAGAGAACACCAAACAAUUUAAAUGUUAAUAGUAGAAACUAUAUGUAGGUAUAGCAUAUUCAAUUUCAGAAGACUGAAGAUAACAGAAAAAAAUCUUGAAAAAAAAAAAGUUGGGGGGCAUUUAUUCACAGAGAAGCAAAGGCAACAAUUACAUCUGACUUCUCAGAAAACAUGCAGCAAGAAAAGAGCAGGGUGAAAUUAGUGUGUAGAAGAAGAAAAAAAAACAACACUGACCCACAAUUAUAUGCCCUAAACGAUUAGUAUUCAAAACUUUCUCAGACAAAAAUUGAUGGAAUUUGUUGUUGGUAGCCCUGUCUUAAAAGAAAUGUUAAAAUAAGUUCAUAGAGAAUAAAAACUCUACAUAAAGAAUAAAAUAUCUACAUAAAGGACAAGCAUCAGUGAAGGUAAAUAAAAACUUAAGCUUCUAAUUAACCAGUUGACAGUUUGUUCAAAAUAAUACCACAAUGUAUUUGAUGAUUAUAGUUUAUGUAUAAGUGAAAUGAAUGGGCAGUAAAAGACAGGGAAGAAUUAAGAAUAUUUUAUUAUUGUAAGGUAUGUGCCCAUAAAGUGGUAUUUGUAAUAGUUGUACACUGAAAGCUCUAGGGCAGCCAAUAAAAGAUUAAGAAAAUAUGUAAUUGUUAAGAAAGGAGGAAAAAACAAGAAAAUGGACAUAAGGCAUUUUAUAUAAAACCAUAAAUGGCAGACUGAGUGAAAAAAAUAUGAACAAAGGAAAAGGGAAAUAGAAGAGAACAUCAAAUGUUAGAUACUAAUCCAAUGUUGUCAAUUAGCACUUUAAAUGCCAAUGGUCCAAGCACAUCAAUUAAAAUAUGCAAAUUGUCAAACUAGAUAAGAAAGAAUCUAACAAUAAGUUGUCUAUAAGAAGUCUACUUUAAAAAUAAAGACACACAUUGAACAUAAGGGAUAGAAAAGAUACAUCACGCCAACAUCAAUUUUUAAAAAGCUUACGUGGCAUUAUUAAAAGCAGACUUCAGAGAAAGAGAAAUAACAAAGAUAUUAAUAAUACAAAGGAUAAUUCUCCAAAAAGAUACAACAAUCCUUAAUGUAUAUGUGACUAAAGAGAACAUCAAAAUACAAGAGCCAAACUUGAUAGAACUAUAAGGAUGAAAAAACUCACUAUUAUAAUUAGAAAACCUCAACACCACUGAGCAAUGGACUCAGCAGGCAGGAAAUCAGCAAAGAUGUUGAACUCAAAAGCACCAUACAUCAGCUGGAUACAGUGAUCAUCUCUAGACUACUUUAUCCAAUAAACAGCAGAAUAUACUUUCUUCACAAGCUUGCAUAAAACAUUUAUUAUAUACAGUUAAGUUAGAGAGAAAUUAACAUACAGCCAGAAAGGGACUGAACACUCAGGGAAGUCAGCAGAAAAACAUAAGACAUCAAAAAUGUGGUUGGAAGUACAUCCAAAGAAGGCCAGGCCUCAAGAUAAAGAUGCAAUGGCCAGGGCUACAUGCUUCCCUAAGGGAUAAACAUUAACUUGGAAUUACUACAUAAUAAGUACCCCCUGAUCCAGGAAGUUCAGCUAGGUAUCAGCUGCCCAGAUGGAUGACCAGAGCUUCCAGAUCUAUCCCUUCCCAAAAAUGCCUUUGUUCCUCCCAUGCACCCCUGAUACACAAGGCACUUCCCUAUUGGAUCAAUAUUAGCUAAGCAGCUAUACCUGCAAUCUGAUAGGUUGAUUAUAGUUU